rnacentral:lncRNA from 1 species
CCAACCAAAAUCAAAGAAAUCACAAAGGAAGGUGUGGAGGGCUUCCUCACCUUUCUCCCUGCAGGUUCCAAGCUCAGGAGAUGCCCUAGGGGCGUGGGGUUACUAAUAGAAGGCUACAAACGCACAAAACCCCCUGCAGUUUCAUUCUGCACGAAAUCUGCCUCCUUGUACCGGUACACGGGUUUUUGUACCGGUACAAGGCCGACGAAAAUGCAAACCCGAGGCUCGGGUCGCGCGGUCUGCGGC